rnacentral:rRNA from 1 species
UGANCCUUUGNAGCGNCAANUCUCAUGGCCCUUACGACCAGGGCUACACACGUGCUACAAUGGCAUAUACAAAGAGAAGCGACCUCGCGAGAGCAAGCGGACCUCAUAAAGUAUGUCGUAGUCCGGAUUGGAGUCUGCAACUCGACUCCAUGAAGUCGGAAUCGCUAGUAAUCGUAGAUCAGAAUGCUACGGUGAAUACGUUCCCGGGCCUUGUACACACCGCCCGUCACACCAUGGGAGUGGGUUGCAAAAGAAGUAGGUAGCUUAACCUUCGGGAGGGCGCUUACCACUUUGUGAUUCAUGACUGGGGUGAAGUCNGUAACAAGGUAACCGUANGGGAACCUGCGGUUGGAUCACCUCNUANUNAUNCUNUNAUUCUUUANACANUUNUUUUUGNUUU